CAGAGGGUAGUUUAAUUUAGAAUUCUAGCUUUGGGAGCUAGGGGUGGGAGUUAAAAUCUCCUCUCUCUGA
rnacentral:tRNA from 1 species